ACUCAAAUGAAUUGACGGGGGCCCGCACAAGCGGUGGAGCAUGUGGUUUAAUUCGACGCAACGCGAAGAACCUUACCCAGACUUGACAUUGAUGGAAUCCUGUAGAGAUACGGGAGUACCCUUCGGGGACCUGAAAACAGGUGCUGCAUGGCUGUCGUCAGCUCGUGUCGUGAGAUGUUGGGUUAAGUCCCGCAACGAGCGCAACCCUCGUCGUUAGUUGCCAUCAGGUAAUGCUGGGCACUCUAGCGAGACUGCCGGUGUCAAACCGGAGGAAGGUGGGGAUGACGUCAAGUCCUCAUGGCCUUUAUGUCUGGGGCUACACACGUGCUACAAUGGCAACUACAGAGCGAUGCAAACCUGCAAAGGGGAGCAAACCGCAAAAAAGUUGUCUCAGUUCGGAUCGGAGUCUGCAACUCGACUUCGUGAAGUCGGAAUCGCUAGUAAUCGAGGAUCAGCAUGCCUCGGUGAAUACGUUCCCGGGCCUUGUACACACCGCCCGU
rnacentral:rRNA from 1 species